UACGGGGGGGGCAAGCGUUGUUCGGAAUUACUGGGCGUAAAGGGCUCGUAGGCGGCCAACUAAGUCAUACGUGAAAUCCCUCGGCUUAACCGGGGAACUGCGUCUGAUACUGGAUGGCUUGAGUUCGGGAGAGGGAUGCGGAAUUCCAGGUGUAGCGGUGAAAUGCGUAGAUAUCAGGAGGAACACCGAUGGCGAAGGCAGGUCUCUGGGCACUUACUGACGCUGAGGAGCGAAAGCGUGGGGAGCGAACAGG
rnacentral:rRNA from 1 species